rnacentral:rRNA from 1 species
AGUGAACGCUGGCGGUAGGCCUAACACAUGCAAGUCGAACGGCAGCACAGUAAGAGCUUGCUCUUACGGGUGGCGAGUGGCGGACGGGUGAGGAAUACAUCGGAAUCUACUUUUUCGUGGGGGAUAACGUAGGGAAACUUACGCUAAUACCGCAUACGACCUACGGGUGAAAGCAGGGGAUCUUCGGACCUUGCGCGAUUGAAUGAGCCGAUGUCGGAUUAGCUAGUUGGCGGGGUAAAGGCCCACCAAGGCGACGAUCCGUAGCUGGUCUGAGAGGAUGAUCAGCCACACUGGAACUGAGACACGGUCCAGACUCCUACGGGAGGCAGCAGUGGGGAAUAUUGGACAAAGGGCGCAAGCCUGAUCCAGCCAUACCGCGUGGGUGAAGAAGGCCUUCGGGUUGUAAAGCCCUUUUGUUGGGAAAGAAAAGCAGCAGGUUAAUACCCCGCUGUUCUUACGGUACCCAAAGAAUAAGCACCGGCUAACUUCGUG